CUGAAGACAAGGUAUAACUACAUAUUAUAUAUAAAUAUAAAAAAAUAUUAAUAUUAGAGACAUAUGCUGUUGAUUAGAUAAGUGAACAACUAAAUGUUAGUACUUAUAAUUUUUUUCUUGAUUUAGAAUGUUAUAUACAUGCAAAACUUGUUAUGUUCAUUCAAUUGCCUUUGGUUUUUGCAGCCAGGUCCGAAGGUGAAAAUUUCUGGGUAUAAACGUGUGCCGUCAAAUUGUGAAACAUCUUUCUUAGGAGCACUCGCAAAUCAACCUUUAAGCGUCCUUGUUGAAGCUGGAGGAAAACCAUUCCAGUUGUAUAAAUCGGUAAUUAUUGAUCAUUUAAUUAGAGAAAGUAAAUAAUUAAAGAGUAAAUAGAGAUUAAUUAAUUUGAUUUUACGAGUGACAGGGAGUUUUUGACGGACCAUGCGGAACCAAAUUAGAUCAUGCAGUAACAGCCGUAGGAUACGGGACAAGUGAUGGAAAAAAUUACAU
rnacentral:lncRNA from 1 species